UCGAUCAGUUUUUUGGUCUUGUUUUUGUUUUUUUGAUGCCAUUGUCAUUCCAGGGUGUUUAGAGUACGAGGCCUUCCAUUCAUAAUGUUAUGCUCUGGUAUCCCGACACAUCAUCACCUGCCACGCGUAAUAUCGGCUCAUCCGUUUAGCCUUUUCGGCAAGUUUUUUUCUGACUACAGUAAAUUUGCAAACUGACAUUGUAAGGUGUCAAAGGAUAAUUGAUUUACUCAUUGAUGGAGGUUUUGGGUUAACUGUGUAAUGCAAGCAGCGUCCGGUCUGCUGCGUAGUGAGCAGCAUCCGUCAUGUCUGGCGAAAACAAGCAUCCCAUCCCAACGCUGCUGCUGCUGCUGCUGCUGCUGCUGAUGAUCAUCCUCAGCGUGUUGCUCCGGCUAAACGCAACUUGUGUCUCUUUGACGUGAUUAGUGAACGGUCUUUACUCGCAAAUAUGUGCUCUUAGGCUAUGUACCGUUAAAGCACGACCUUUUGAUCAAAUGAAAUAAAAAAUCUGCGUAAAUGAUGCGCUCCGUGGCCUGUAGCGGGGCCCUGGGUUACUGCAGCCUGCAGGGCGGCCUCUUCUGCCCACAGAGAGCCACAUUAGACCCAAAGCAGUCUGACCUGUUGUCUCCGGGCGUCCCAUGCCUUCAUUCAUCCCCGUGCGUCAUGUGACCGCUUUGUUUCUCCUUACCUUUGCCCUGUGGAUAUAAGAUGUGAAUGUAUAAGGAUGUUUCCCCAAACUGGGAUCCAGGGACUUCCAGGCAUCCCCCAAAUGGUCCUAGAGCAACCUGAACAAAUCAUGGAGCACUAUAAGUUCAAUAACAUGCAUUCACUUAUGAUAGAUAGAUAGAUAGAUAGAUAGAUAGAUAGAUAGAUAGAUAGAUAGAUAGAUAGAUAUGCAGCGGGGGAAAUUUGUUUUCACAGUCUGUUUCAUGCACAUGGCAAAAUACACAGACAAAUACAUCAACAGAGAACUUGAAGACAGAAGAUAGACAUAUA